GUGCCAGCCGCCGCGGUAAUACCAGCUCCGCGAGUGGUCGGGGUGCUUACUGGGCCUAAAGCGCCCGUAGCCGGCCCGGUAAGUCGUCCCUGAAAUCCACGGGCUCAACCCGUGGGCUGGGGACGAUACUGCCGGGCUUGGGGGCGGGAGAGGCCGAGGGUACUCCCGGGGUAGGGGCGAAAUCCGAUAAUCCCGGGAGGACCACCAGUGGCGAAGGCGCUCGGCUGGAACGCGCCCGACGGUGAGGGGCGAAAGCUGGGGGAGCAAAGGGGAUUAGAUACCCCUGUAGUCCCAGCUGUAAACGAUGCGGGCUAGCUGUUGGGCGGGCUUAGAGCCCGCCACGUGGCGGAGGGAAGCCGUUAAGCCCGCCGCCUGGGGAGUACGGCCGCAAGGCUGAAACUUAAAGGAAUUGGCGGGGGGGCACCACAAGGGGUGAAGCUUGCGGCUUAAUUGGAGUCAACGCCGGAAACCUUACCCGGGGCGACCGCAGGAUGACGGCCAGGCUAACGACCUUGCCCGACUCGCGGAGAGGAGGUGCAUGGCCGUCGCCAGCUCGUGUUGCGAAAUGUCCGGUUAAGUCCGGCAACGAGCGAGACCCCCACCCCUAGUUGGUAUCACGGGCUCCGGCCCGUGACCACACUAGGGGGACUGCCGGCGUAAGCCGGAGGAAGGAGGGGGCCACGGCAGGUCAGCAUGCCCCGAAACCCCCGGGUCGCACGCGGGUUACAAUGGCAGGGACAGCGGGAUGCUACCCCGAAAGGGGGAGCCAAUCCCUCAAACCCUGCCGCAGUUGGGAUCGAGGGCUGGAACCCGCCCUCGUGAACGAGGAAUCCCUAGUAACCGCGGGUCAACAACCCGCGGUGAAUACGUCCCUGCUCCUUGCACACACCGCCCGUC
rnacentral:rRNA from 1 species